CAGCAGGAGAGCCCCAGGAUCCCUGGAUCCAGCCCUCAUUUCCAGAGCAGGAUGCCAGGCUCUGAAAAGGACACUUUGAUCAUCUCUGUUAAGGACUAACGCAUUCAAAGUCACGAGCUUUGGCAGGARAUUCCUGUGGAAGAUUCCUGUUCAUCCUUUCUGGGCUUUUUGAUUCUUCCCUCAUUGCCAAAAAGCACAAAUAACAGCUUGGAACACUGGAACCGAAGAACAGCUAACUUGGAGGAGGACUGAACUUGCUACUGAAUAAUGCAAAAACAUGUGCAAGGACAAGUGUGGUGGAUGGAAUCAGGAAUGUGGGCACCCAGGAUCCAUCAGCAGAGUCAAUUC